GUGGAUGAGGGGCACAAACGAGUUGCCCGUUCAGAGUCAUCAGAGUCUAAUGAGGCUGCCUCUACCACAACGGGACUUACUACAGCACAGUUCCUACAACUGCUGCAGGCUGUCCUCAAUCUUUUUACAACUACUACGGCUGCACCCACUACUACAACAACAGCAACUACUACAACCACUACUGCUGCUCCGUAGAAAAAUCUGUUUGGAAUGGAAGACCAGAUUUCAUCACUGUUUUGUAUCCCUUGCUUUGCUGAGAAUUUGUUUAGAUUUUCUCUUUUCAAAUUUAAAUCAUGCUGUCUUGACCACACCACACGCACCAUUCGAGUUCAGUAAAACAUGUGGAUCAAAACUAAGAGUUAUCCAUGAUAUCUUCUAAAUAAAAUGCAAAAAUGGAAA